UACGUAGGGGGCAAGCGUUGUCCGGAGUUACUGGGCGUAAAGCGCACGCAGGCGGUCGCGUAAGAGUGCGGGGACAGUGGGCGGCUUAACUGCCCAAGGGUCGCACAGACUGCGUGACUGGAGGGCCAGAGAGGGACCUGGAAUUCCGGGUGGAGCGGUGAAAUGCGUAGAGAUUAGGAAGAACACCAGUGGCGAAGGCGACUUACUGGACUGUAACUGACGCUGAGGCAUGAAAGCGUGGGGAGCAAACAGG
rnacentral:rRNA from 1 species